rnacentral:rRNA from 1 species
ACGAACGCUGGCGGCGUGCCUAAUACAUGCAAGUCGAGCGAUUGGUGCUUGCACCAGAGCGGCGGACGGGUGAGUAACACGUGGGUAACCUGCCCAAGAGACUGGGAUAACACCUGGAAACAGAUGCUAAUACCGGAUAACAACACUGACGCAUGUCUAGAGUUAAAAGAUGUUCUUAUCACUCUUGGAUGGACCUGCGGUGCAUUAGCUAGUUGGUAAGGUAACGGCUUACCAAGGCAAUGAUGCAUAGCCGAGUUGAGAGACUGAUCGGCCACAUUGGGACUGAGACACGGCCCAAACUCCUACGGGAGGCAGCAGUAGGGAAUCUUCCACAAUGGACGCAAGUCUGAUGGAGCAACGCCGCGUGAGUGAAGAAGGGUUUCGGCUCGUAAAGCUCUGUUGGUAGUGAAGAAAGAUAGAGGUGUAAGCCUUUAUUUGACGGUAAUUACUUAGAAAGUCACGGCUAACUACGUGCCAGCAGCCGCGGUAAUACGUAGGUGGCAAGCGUUGUCCGGAUUUAUUGGGCGUAAAGCGAGUGCAGGCGGUUCAAUAAGUCUGAUGUGAAAGCCUUCGGCUCAACCGGAGAAUUGCAUCAGAAACUGUUGAACUUGAGUGCAGAAGAGGAGAGUGGAACUCCAUGUGUAGCGGUGGAAUGCGUAGAUAUAUGGAAGAACACCAGUGGCGAAGGCGGCUCUCUGGUCUGCAACUGACGCUGAGGCUCGAAAGCAUGGGUAGCGAACAGGAUUAGAUACCCUGGUAGUCCAUGCCGUAAACGAUGAGUGCUAAGUGUUGGGAGGUUUCCCCUCUCAGUGCUGCAGCUAACGCAUUAAGCACUCCGCCUGGGGAGUACGACCGCAAGGUUGAAACUCAAAGGAAUUGACGUGGGCCCGUACAAGCGGUGGAGCAUGUGGUUUAAUUCGAAGCAACGCGAAGAACCUUACCAGGUCUUGACAUCCAGUGCAAACCUAAGAGAUUAGGUGUUCCCUUCGGGGACGCUGAGACAGGUGGUGCAUGGCUGUCGUCAGCUCGUGUCGUGAGAUGUUGGGUUAAGUCCCGCAACGAGCGCAACCCUUGUCAUUAGUUGCCAUCAUUAAGUUGGGCACUCUAAUGAGACUGCCGGUGACAAACCGGAGGAAGGUGGGAUGACGUCAAGUCAUCAUGCCCCUUAUGACCUGGGCUACACACGUGCUACAAUGGACGGUACAACGAGAAGCGAACCUGCGAAGGCAAGCGGAUCUCUGAAAGCCGUUCUCAGUUCGGACUGUAGGCUGCAACUCGCCUACACGAAGCUGGAAUCGCUAGUAAUCGCGGAUCAGCACGCCGCGGUGAAUACGUUCCCGGGCCUUGCACACACCGCCCGUCA